CUGCGGCGGGCGUGCGUAAUACAUAGCAAGUCGAGCGAACAGACAAGGAGCUUGCUCCUUUGACGUUAGCGGCGGACGGGUGAGUAACACGUGGGUAACCUACCUAUAAGACUGGGAUAACUUUGGGAAACCGGAGCUAAUACCGGAUAAUAUUUCGAACCGCAUGGUUCGAUAGUGAAAGAUGGUUUUGCUAUCACUUAUACCCCGGACCCGCGCCGUAUUAGCUAGUUGGUAAGGUAACGGCUUACCAAGGCGACGAUACGUAGCCGACCUGAGAGGGUGAUCGGCCACACUGGAACUGAGACACGGUCCAGACUCCUACGGGAGGCAGCAGUAGGGAAUCUUCCGCAAUGGGCGAAAGCCUGACGGAGCAACGCCGCGUGAGUGAUGAAGGUCUUCGGAUCGUAAAACUCUGUUAUUAGGGAAGAACAUACGUGUAAGUAACUAUGCACGUCUUGACGGUACCUAAUCAGAAAGCCACGGCUAACUACGUGCCAGCAGCCGCGGUAAUACGUAGGUGGCAAGCGUUAUCCGGAAUUAUUGGGCGUAAAGCGCGCGUAGGCGGUUUUUUAAGUCUGAUGUGAAAGCCCACGGCUCAACCGUGGAGGGUCAUUGGAAACUGGAAAACUUGAGUGCAGAAGAGGAAAGUGGAAUUCCAUGUGUAGCGGUGAAAUGCGCAGAGAUAUGGAGGAACACCAGUGGCGAAGGCGACUUUCUGGUCUGUAACUGACGCUGAUGUGCGAAAGCGUGGGGAUCAAACAGGAUUAAAUACCCUGGUAG
rnacentral:rRNA from 1 species